GACAUAGGCUUUCUGCUUUUGCUCCCUGUGUGCUGUUUGUCUCUCUGACUUUCAGCAUGCAGAAAAAUCUCACCCUACUGCC
rnacentral:sRNA from 1 species